rnacentral:rRNA from 1 species
UACGUAGGGCGCGAGCGUUGUCCGGAAUUAUUGGGCGUAAAGAGCUCGUAGGCGGUUCGUCGCGUCGGCUGUGAAAACCUGAGGCUCAACCUCAGGCCUGCAGUCGAUACGGGCGGACUUGAGUACUGCAGGGGAGACUGGAAUUCCCGGUGUAGUGGUGGAAUGCGUAGAUAUCGGGAGGAACACCAGUGGCGAAGGCGGUUGCCUGGGGCUUUGCUGACGCUGAUGCGCGAAAGCGUGGGGAGCGAGUCCGG